rnacentral:rRNA from 1 species
UUCCUCUAAAGUUAGAGGUAACAUCUGCCAAUUGCUCAAAGUAAAAGGCCGUUACACGCUAAGGUAGCGUAAUCAAAAGUUUAUUAAUUGUAAACCUGCAUGAAAGAUGAAAUCUAUAAUUUUUUUUCUUAAUUUAAACUUGAACUUAAAGAAAGAUAAAAAAUACUUUCCAAGAAGGCAGACGAGAAGACCCUAAAAGCUAAUUGUUGACAAUUUUUUGGGGAAAAUUAAUUUUAGAAUCUAAAUAUUUAAUAUUACAAAAACUAAAAAAUAAGCUACUUUAGGGGUAACAGAGUAAUUUUUUUUAAAAGAACUUAUUUACUAAAAAGAUUACGACCUCGAUGUUGGAUUCCUGAAUCUAGCUUCCGCAGUAGGAAGCUAAGAAUAGACUGUUCGUUUUUUAAACCAGG